GGUUCUCUUCGUAGUUCUCCUCUUCCAGGUACGCCUUGACGUCCUCGACCGAGAGCUGGGGCACCUUCGCCUUCUGCCCUGGCUGGAAGUCCAGCACCUCGCCCUCCUCGUCGUAGUCUAACUCAGCCCCGGGAUUGCCCUGCGAAGCCAUUUCCCGGAGAGAUGCUGCAAGACUGAAAAAAAAACACUGGUGCCUGCUGUACUGGUCUGCUACUGCUCUAUAGGUUCAGAGAUCAGCUGACGGGGAAGCUUGUUUAACUUUUGUUUAUCUUCAGUCGGGUCAAAAUUACACACAGCUGAUAAGAAAUAUACACAAGAUAAAUUGUGGUUGCAACCGACUGAUCCUAUGAGCAAAUUUUAAUGUCUUCUUGGGACAAACUCUGCAUGUUGUCUACUAAAAAGAUUGGUCGAACAAUUUCACUUCUGAAUUAUGACAAGAGAGAUAUUACAGCUGCGCAGGGUAGCUUUUCAGCAAAUAAACGUAGCAAUUAAAGCUUCGAUAGGCUAUAGGCUGACCUGCCGACUCCAUGAUCGCUAAAUUCCAAUUUGAUGACAAAUUUCCAAUAAGACUAUCCGAAGCAGCCUAUGGAAGAAUUGGAUCCCAGUUUAUGUCCGUUACACCAUGGUUCAAAGACCGAAUUACGUGUCAGGAGCUGGUAUCUUUGAAAAUAAACUAUUAACUACUAAUUACAUUAAUAAACUGUAUUAUACGCAGCUUACAAGAA